rnacentral:rRNA from 1 species
UACAGAGGGUGCGAGCGUUGUCCGGAAUCACUGGGCGUAAAGGGCGCGUAGGUGGCUCGUUAAGCGUGUGGUGAAAGCCUGGGGCUCAACCCCAGGUCUGCCGUGCGAACUGGCGAGCUUGAGCAGAGUAGAGGCGGGUGGAAUUUCGGGUGUAGCGGUGGAAUGCGUAGAUAUCCGAAAGAACACCGGUGGCGAAAGCGGCUCUCUGGCCCGGAUCUGACGCUGAGGCGCGAAAGCGUGGGGAGCAAACAGG